rnacentral:lncRNA from 13 species
AAAUGAUUAGAGGGGAGGCCUCUCUGCAGAGAGUCUCCCGAGAAGGAAAAUGUAGUGUUACUUUCUAAAUCUCUUCCCACUGUUUCGGGUUUCCACAGUUCUGCUUCUUCUUAUUCACAUUGGAGCUGACUGCCUGAUCCUAAAGGCUGAGGACAAGGACUUGGUUUCUAAACACAGCUGCACAGCCCUGACAGAGAAGUCGCAGAGUCAAAGGAAACCCACAAUAAAUGGGCUACAUUGGGCCAUGUUCCCAAUUUCCUUGCUGAGUGGGGGCAGAAAUGGUGCAAGUGAACUGACCCAUUUGGAAGCCCAAGCGGAAACUGGCCUUAAACUUUUUUUAAAUAUUAUUUCUGUAGGUUUUUGGUGAACAGGUGGUAUUUGGUUACAUGAGUACACUCUUUAGUUGUAAUUUGUGAGAUUUUGGCGCACCCAUCAUCACCCAAGCAGUAUACGCUGACACCAACAGGUAGUCUUUUAUCCCUCACCCCGUCCCACGCUUUCCCCCAAGUUCCCAAAGUUCAUUAUAUCAUUCUGACGCGUUUGCAUCCUCAUAGCCCAGCUCCCACUUAGGAGUGAGAACACAUGUUGUUUGGUUUUCCAUUCCUGAGUUACUUCACUUAAAAUAAUAGUCUCCAGUUGCAUCCAGGUUGCUGUGAAUGCCAUCAAUUCGUUUCUUUUAUGGGACUCAUUUUUUUAAUGUAAUCUUGGCAACCAUUGAACUUCUUGUUUUAAAGGAGGAGAAGGAGGUCUGAGGAAAGGUUCAGAAGGCUGCCUGGACUUCAAUGGGACUUACAUAAUAAUUUUCUGUAUUACGUAUAAAUCCAUCAGAAACAUAUGGAACGCAUUUUCAUUAAAGUCCACAUGUGGAAUUAUUAAUAGAAAUUCAGUGGGAAAGAACAGUUUUGGGAGUGAGGGAGUUUGGAGGGACAAGGGAAGAACAUGUUUUAUGGAACUCAUGAAACGCAGAAGGCUGCAGGAGGAAGUGCUUGGGUUUGUCCCUAGCUCACCAAGCCUCUGGGAU